AUGAUUGGGUUUAAUGAAGAAGAAAAACAUGAAGGGAUGGGACAAGGAAUUGGAGUUCACAUAGGCAAUAACAGCAAAAAUAUUUGCAUCAGAGCUAGCAGUCCUAUCCAGCACAUCAGAAGCCAGCCAAGAUUAGCAGAAGUAAAGGACCGGUAUCUCACAACAUACCAUCUUUUACUGCAAAGACAGGACACCUUUGGACCAGGUCUUUUGCAAAAUAAAUGUAUAUUAAUAUGAAACAUUAGAUCUAGAAUUGUUAUUAAGAAGAUAGAGCAUGUUUUGUAUAUACUUCUGUCUCACGCACCAAGUGAUUAUACUACUUCAUGCAUUGUUCUAAGAUACCGGAUACUGUGGUGCUAUGAAACUAGGAAACUAUUAAUGAAUUACUUCCACAGAGAUUUCAAAAAAUGAAAUAACGUAUUGAAACAAUGAAGAAAAAUAUACUACAGGAUUUACAGUCUUACCUCAAAGUCAGCUGGGGUUCAGAUUAAGGAAGGAUGGGUUAUAUCCAUGUGAAUUGUAUAAAAUCUUUUUAAAGUAUGGGGUACAUGUUUAGAGGUAUGGAGUAUUUCAGUGUUUGUGUUAAAUCCUCUUCACUUCUCUGCUUCAUAGUCACAUCCUUUCUCUAUUCUGUUAGCUGAAAAAAAAAAAAAAUCCCCACACAAACUUUAAGUUUAGGAAGAAAUCGCUGCUAUCCAGCACCAUGCAAUUAGCAUAUAUGAAUAAGAAAUGAGUUCCUGCUGUUCUGGACCAUUGUUAAUCCAUAUUGAUGGGGUAGAAAACAUGACAUCAACUGUAAAAAUCCAAGAACAUUCCUUAAAAUAUUCAAAUGAUGUGCCUGGCCCUGUAUUCAUUCUGCAUCUCAAAUUCUCAUUGACUUUGUGGGUACCUGGAAUGCACAAGGAAUGCAGGAUUAGGUAGUUGGGUACGCGUGGUAUGCCUACCUUGACAGCAAAUACAGCUUUUGAUUCUGUCUGAAAUUCCACAAGACAAAUAUUCAGGUCAAAGGAACUGUACAAAAAUACACACAAAUUUUAUACAGCUGCUAUUUGCUCUGGGCCAUAUGCCACCAUGAGCUGGAUGGAGCUCUGUUUUGCUGCUGCUAAAGUACAGUGUGCGCACUAAAUCCACACCUGUUUUUUCUUUAAACUUGUUUUAUUUUUUACAAUCUGUAUACUAACCAGUAUCGUACAAUCUUGUCUUUAUUUGAUCACUUGUAAUGACGAGAGAAAAAUAUCAUUAUUCUGAUACAACCUACAUGAUGAUUGAGACACUGAGCAACUCUUCAUUUUCUCAGGUGUUCUCAAGAAAUAGCACUGAGGAAUUGCUAAGGGACUUGCAGAGUAAGACUCAGGAGCUGUCUCAAGUGAUGUACAUUAGUCUUAAAUGUAAUUAAAACCAACAUUAGAGCCAGUAGCACUAGAGAGAAAAGUAACAUUGAGAGAUUGCAAUCAUAUUUGCUUUUACCAUCUCUUAUCUUUUUUGAUUCUCUUCUGUGCAGAAAGAAACAUCCUCUUUCAAGCCAAGAAAUUGUAUAUGUGAAUGUUAGCCUCCAUUAAAAAAAAAAAAAAAAAUUGUAAAAAUACCAUAAUCCAUAAGAUGAGUUCAAAUUUGUGAGAAAAUAUCUGAAUAUCCCUUGAAUCUCCAAAGAAAUGUAUCUAUCUAGUUAAUGUCAGACCACCAUGGCAUGGGCUGGCUCAAAGGCUUUCUCUCAAAGCCCAUUUACUUAAAUUGUGGUUCACAGACUGUUGACCUUCUCAACUUUAAUGACAUCUUCUGAACCAUCAUUAUUGAUAGGGGAAGUGUGUGAACCAUUUCUCACCCAACAAAUAAAGGCUCAGAAGUUUUGAGCA
rnacentral:lncRNA from 1 species